UCGGGAAUUUUCCACAAUGGACGAAAGUCUGAUGUAGCAACGCCGCGUGCAGGAUGAAGGCCCUAGGGUCGUAAACUGCUUUUAUGAGUGAUGAAUAUGACAGUAGCUCAAGAAUAAGGGUCGGCUAACUACGUGCCAGCAGCCGCGGUCAUACGUAGGACCCAAGCGUUAUCCGGAAUUACUGGGCGUAAAGAGUUGUGUAGGCGGCUUGUUAAGCAAAGUGUGAAAUCGUGUGGCUCAACCAUAUACACAUAUUUUGAACUGGCAAGCUAGAGGGCCAGAGAGGUUAUUGGAAUUGCUAGUGUAGGAGUGAAAUCCGUAGAUAUUAGCAGGAACACCGAUGGCGUAGGCAGAUAACUGGCUCGCACCUGACGCUCAGACACGAAAGCGUGGGUAGCAAACGGGAUUAGAUACCCCAGUAGUCCCUGAGCGGGCUGGCAAGGCGCAU
rnacentral:rRNA from 1 species